UGAUUUUGAUGUGGGAUCAAAUUGACCUGAACAAAUUAACCUGAAAUAAGUGAUUGGAAGCAAUCUGAAUCUUUUGUAAUCUUUGGUGUGUAGUAAACACAUUCCAAUCUGUCUAUGACUUCAUGGUAAGAUUGUUACAGUGUUUCAGGAGAUCACCUUGGUUACUGGUUUGGUGAGAGCUAAUCAUUGGGCAUACAACCAGUAUGGGAUCUCACCUUCCCUUCUUAAUCUGUUCUCGGAGGUUGGCACUCAGAGCCGUAAGCCACUCAAGACAGUGUGACAAGCAUCUUAACAGAAACUAGUUGCAACCCUAGCCCUGAAGAGACACUACAGCAGCAGCAUAAUAUUGUUAGCAAAGAUUAUGUUCAGAAGCAGAGUGGAGAAACAUCUGCUAAUCUUCGUAAGAGAAUUGACAGCACAGCAAGGAGGGACUGGAAAUUUGUUCUUGAUCCUUUUUUAACCUACUGUGGCAGGCCCCGCCCGCCUGAGUCCCCCAACACCCUUGGAAAAAAUGCACCAUCGCAAAAAAUUAAACAUGAGCUGGU